UAAAAAUGUGGCAGUUGUUGUUGAUGGUGGUGUGAGUUGCGCAAACUUAGUCGUGUUACCUAUCUCUGAGUGAAGAAGAAGAAGAACGCUACCUCCGAUAACUCAGGCGAAUAAAUCGAUAUCUACCCAUUUCAUUUCAAUUCCAUUUCUUAACUGGGUUUCUCUCCUUUUCUCGAGAAAUUACUCUUAUUUCCAUCUGAAUAUUAAUGCCUGUGGCCCUUCCCUGUGUUUCAGUUUUUAUUUUUCUUUUUCUUUAAUUUGUUUAGCCGCGAUUUCUGAUCCUUGUCUCUAUGCGUUGAUGUCUGCAUCUCAGUCUGAUAGAGAUAUAUCUAAAGUUGGUGGCAGAACGGAUCUCGAUGAUGAUGAAGAUGAUGAAGUUAAGAUUAGUGGUGGGUCUCCGAUUAGAGACAGAGGCAGUACUAUUGAUAUCGACAAAAAUAAUAAUAGGAAGAAGAAGAAGAAGAAG
rnacentral:misc_RNA from 1 species